AACGAACGCUGGCGGCAUGCCUAACACAUGCAAGUCGAACGAGACCUUCGGGUCUAGUUGCGCACGGCUGCGUACCGCGUGGUAACCUGCCCUUAGGUUCGGUAUAACUCCCCGUAAGGUGUGCUAAUACCGGUUAAUGUCUUCGGACCAAAGAGUUAUCGCCUUUGGAUGGGCCCGCGUUGGAUUCGCUAGUUGGUAGUGUAAAAGCCUACCAAGGCGACGAUCCUUAGCUGGUCUGAGAGGAUGAUCAGCCACGCUGGGACUGAGACACGGACCAGACUCGUACGGGAGGCAGCAGUGGGGAAUAUUGGACGAGGGGCGAAAGCCUGAUAAAGCAAUGCCGGGUGAGUGAUGCAGGCGUUAGGGUUGUAAAGCUCUUUUAGCCGGGAUGAUAAUGACAGUACCGGGAGAAUAAGCUCCGGCUAACUACGUG
rnacentral:rRNA from 1 species